rnacentral:rRNA from 1 species
CCUACGGGUGGCACCAGUGGGGAAUAUUGCACAAUGGGCGCAAGCCUGAUGCAGCCAUGCCGCGUGUAUGAAGAAGGCCUUCGGGUUGUAAAGUACUUUCAGCGAGGAGGAAGGCGUUAAGGUUAAUAACCUUGGCGAUUGACGUUACUCGCAGAAGAAGCACCGGCUAACUCCGUGCCAGCAGCCGCGGUAAUACGGAGGGUGCAAGCGUUAAUCGGAGUUACUGGGCGUAAAGCGCACGCAGGCGGUCUGUCAAGUCGGAUGUGAAAUCCCCGGGCUCAACCUGGGAACUGCAUCCGAAACUGGCAGGCUAGAGUCUUGUAGAGGGGGGUAGAAUUCCAGGUGUAGCGGUGAGAUGCGUAGAGAUCUGGAGGAAUACCGGUGGCGAAGGCAGCCCCCUGGACAAAGACUGACGCUCAGGUGCGAAAGCGUGGGGAGCAAACAGGAUUAGAUACCCGCGUAGUC